rnacentral:rRNA from 1 species
GACGAACGCUGGCGGCGUGCUUAACACAUGCAAGUCGAACGGAAAGGCCCUGCUUUUGUGGGGUGCUCGAGUGGCGAACGGGUGAGUAACACGUGAGUAACCUGCCCUUGACUUUGGGAUAACUUCAGGAAACUGGGGCUAAUACCGGAUAGGAGCUCCUGCUGCACGGUGGGGGUUGGAAAGUUUCGGCGGUUGGGGAUGGACUCGCGGCUUAUCAGCUUGUUGGUGGGGUAGUGGCUUACCAAGGCUUUGACGGGUAGCCGGCCUGAGAGGGUGACCGGCCACAUUGGGACUGAGAUACGGCCCAGACUCCUACGGGAGGCAGCAGUGGGGAAUAUUGCACAAUGGGCGGAAGCCUGAUGCAGCAACGCCGCGUGCGGGAUGACGGCCUUCGGGUUGUAAACCGCUUUCGCCGGUGACGAAGCGUGAGUGACGGUAAUGGGUAAAGAAGCACCGGCUAACUACGUG